rnacentral:rRNA from 1 species
UACGAAGGGUGCAAGCGUUACUCGGAAUUACUGGGCGUAAAGCGUGCGUAGGUGGUUCGUUAAGUCUGUCGUGAAAGCCCCGGGCUCAACCUGGGAAUGGCGAUGGAUACUGGCGGGCUAGAGUGCGGUAGAGGAGAGUGGAAUUCCCGGUGUAGCAGUGAAAUGCGUAGAGAUCGGGAGGAACAUCAGUUGCGAAGGCGGCUCUCUGGGACGGUACUGACGCUGAGACGCGAAAGCGUGGGGAGCGAACAGG